AAAAGCAUAUAUAAUUAGAACCUAUAAUAAGAUUAAUUUAUAUAUAGACUAGGCUAUUUUUGGAGAGAGUGUGGAAAAGAUUUACCUUUAAGUUGUAUUUUUUUUACUUUUUUAAUAUAAUUAGUUUGUUUGGUAGGUUGUUAAAUGUUAGUAGGUUUUGUAUUUAAGUUCCAAGUUUGAUUUUUCUUCCCCUCACAAAUAUAUAUUUUUUAUUUCAUUUUGUUUUAAGCUUUUUAUAUUUUUAAUUAAUGUUUU
rnacentral:lncRNA from 1 species